rnacentral:rRNA from 1 species
AAUGGGGGAAACCCUGACGCAGCAACGCCGCGUGGAGGACGAAGGUUUUCGGAUUGUAAACUCCUGUCCUCUGGGACGAAUAAUGACGGUACCAGAGGAGGAAGCCACGGCUAACUACGUGCCAGCAGCCGCGGUAAUACGUAGGUGGCAAGCGUUGUCCGGAAUUACUGGGCGUAAAGGGCGCGUAGGCGGUCUUUUAAGUCAGAUGUGAAAACCCGGGGCUCAACCUCGGACCUGCAUUUGAAACUGGGAGACUCGAGUGUCGGAGAGGAAAGCGGAAUUCCUAGUGUAGCGGUGAAAUGCGUAGAUAUCAGGAGGAACACCGGUGGCGAAGGCGGCUCUCUGGACCGAUACUGACGCUGAGACGCGAAAGCGUGGGUAGCAAA